GUUAGGAAAUGCAAGGGUGUAAAUAGCAUCCUUGCUUGACUAAGGCUCCAGAGGAAGCCACGGCUAACUCUGUGCCAGCAGCCGCGGUAAUACAGAGGUGGCAAGCGUUGUUCGGAAUUAUUGGGCGUAAAGAGCACGUAGGCGGCUCUGCAAGUCAGCUGUGAAAGCCUUCUGCUUAACGGAAGAACAGCAGUUGAUACUACAGAGCUGGAGUGCGGGAGGGGAGAGUGGAACUUCUGGUAAU
rnacentral:rRNA from 1 species